UGAGGAAUAUUGGUCAAUGGGCGAGAGCCUGAACCAGCCAAGUAGCGUGCAGGACGACGGCCCUAUGGGUUGUAAACUGCUUUUAUGUGGGGAUAAAGUGCGUGACGUGUCAUGCAUUGCAGGUACCACAUGAAUAAGGACCGGCUAAUUCCGUGCCAGCAGCCGCGGUAAUACGGAAGGUCCGGGCGUUAUCCGGAUUUAUUGGGUUUAAAGGGAGCGUAGGCUGUCUAUUAAGCGUGUUGUGAAAUGUAGGAGCUCAACUUCUAGAUUGCAGCGCGAACUGUCAGACUUGAGUGCGCACAACGUAGGCGGAAUUCAUGGUGUAGCGGUGAAAUGCUUAGAUAUCAUGAAGAACUCCGAUUGCGAAGGCAGCUUACGGGAGCGCAACUGACGCUGAAGCUCGAAGGUGCGGGUAUCGAACAGG
rnacentral:rRNA from 1 species